AUAGAAACUAAGAGGUUUUUAGCUGUAAUGCUUUAAGAGACAUGGAAAAAAAGGUUAACAAUUGGGUAAAAGAUUAAUGGUAAGGAUUUGCUGAACCAACAAAUUGAAUUGGAAUACAAAGAAGGGAGGUAUGAGGAGGUCCGGGGAAAUAAGAGUAAGGAAGAUAGGUUAUGGAACAUUAUUGUGUUUUUAACUGUUUUAUUUUGUAUGUUUUUUUUUUCUUAUUUUUUACUGUUUUUGUUAUAUCUUAAAACUUUAUACUUUUUCUUUAUUCUGUACUUUCAUGUAUCUUUAAUAAAUAUC